UACAGAGACUGCGAGCGUUAUUCGGAUUCACUGGGCGUAAAGGGUGCGCAGGCGGCCAAGUGUGUGAGGCGUGAAAGCCCGGGGCUCAACCCCGGAAUUGCACCUCAAACUACAUGGCUAGAGUACUGGAGAGGGUAACGGAAUUCAUGGUGUAGCAGUGAAAUGCGCAGAUAUCGGGAAGAACACCUAUGGCGAAGGCAGCUCUCUGGGACGGUACUGACGCUGAGACGCGAAAGCGUGGGGAGCGAACAGG
rnacentral:rRNA from 1 species